rnacentral:tRNA from 1 species
CCGACCUUAGCUCAGUUGGUAGAGCGGAGGACUGUAGAUCCUUAGGUCGCUGAUUCAAAUCCGGUAGGUCGGA